rnacentral:rRNA from 1 species
GAUGAACGCUGGCGGCACGCCUAACACAUGCAAGUCGAACGCGUAUUUUAGAUUUUAGAUUUUGGAUUUUGGACUUUAGUUUACUAAUUUCCAACAUCUAGUUUCUAACUUCUGAUUUAUGAGUGGCGGACGGGUGAGUAACACGUUGGAACCUACCCCGAAGAGGGAGAUAACAACCCGAAAGGGUUGCUAAUACCCCAUAUACUCCGAUUUAUUCGGAGGAAAGCUUUUGCGCUUCGGGAGGGGCCUGCGUAACAUUAGCUUGUUGGUGAGGUAAAAGCUCACCAAGGCUACGAUGUUUAGCUGGUUUGAGAGGAUGAUCAGCCACACUGGGACUGAGAUACGGCCCAGACUCCUACGGGAGGCAGCAGUGAGGAAUAUUCCACAAUGGGGGAAACCCUGAUGGAGCGAUGCCGCGUGCAGGAAGACGCUUUUCGGAGUGUAAACUGCUUUUAAUAGGGAAGAUUAUGACGGUACCUAUCGAAUAAGGACCGGCUAACUACGUG